rnacentral:rRNA from 1 species
GACGAACGCUGGCGGCGUGCCUAAUACAUGCAAGUAGAACGCUGAAGGAGGAGCUUGCUUCUCUGGAUGAGUUGCGAACGGGUGAGUAACGCGUAGGUAACCUGCCUGGUAGCGGGGGAUAACUAUUGGAAACGAUAGCUAAUACCGCAUAAGAGUAGAUGUUGCAUGACAUUUGCUUAAAAGGUGCAAUUGCAUCACUACCAGAUGGACCUGCGUUGUAUUAGCUAGUUGGUGGGGUAACGGCUUACCAAGGCGACGAUACAUAGCCGACCGGAGAGGGUGAUCGGCCACACUGGGACUGAGACACGGCCCAGACUCCUACGGGAGGCAGCAGUAGGGAAUCUUCGGCAAUGGACGGAAGUCUGACCGAGCAACGCCGCGUGAGUGAAGAAGGGUUUCGGAUCGUAAAGCUCUGUUGUAAGAGAAGAAAGAGUGUGAGAGUGGAAAGUUCACACUGUGACGGUAUCUUACCAGAAAGGGACGGCUAACUACGUG